rnacentral:rRNA from 1 species
UACGUAGGGUGCGAGCGUUGUCCGGAUUUAUUGGGCGUAAAGAGCUCGUAGGCGGUGUGUCGCGUCGGCCGUGAAAACCUGGGGCUCAACUCUGGGCGUGCGGUCGAUACUGGCAUCACUUGAGUUCGGCAGGGGAGACUGGAAUUCCUGGUGUAGCGGUGAAAUGCGCAGAUAUCAGGAGGAACACCGGUGGCGAAGGCGGGUCUCUGGGCCGAUACUGACGCUGAGGAGCGAAAGCGUGGGGAGCGAACAGG